GUGUCCCCCAGACCAUCUGGAAACCCCACCUGUGCAUCUUAAAUAAGGAAGGACCAAGCAGAUAUCAGAAAGAGGGAUGUUGGGGGAACAAGAAACUAACCAGCCUGCAGGAGUCGCUGGAGGCCAAAGACAAAUAUUUUCGCCGAGGAGAAUUUGGAAAAUUUCGCAGUAUAUAAAAAAAGAAAAUUAAAAGUCUCCAUCAUACCAUCUAUCAGCAACCAUUGUUAGCACUUUUGUGUAUUUAUCUGCAAGUACUUCCCCUGCUCCCACCUCUCGCUUUUAGAUAAUUUACAUAAUGAUGAUGAUACACUAUGUACAGUUUCACACCCUGCUGUU
rnacentral:lncRNA from 1 species